GAACACCUACCUCUUAGUCUCCAGUUUAAGAACCCCCCCAGGAAAUGGAACAUAAUUAAAUCCCUCGCAUCACAAUUCUUAGUACAUAAAAAGCUCAGAGCUGAAAUUCUCAGUAUGGACGCGAACGGUUUCCACCAUGGUAAUGCCUAUCUGGGCCAGAGCCUCCAUCUUUGUAACUAUUCCGACGCCGAUCAGCCCCCCCAUAGCCACCUC
rnacentral:misc_RNA from 1 species